rnacentral:rRNA from 1 species
GACGAACGCUGGCGGCGUGCUUAACACAUGCAAGUCGAGCGGUAAGGCCUUUCGAGGUACACGUGCGGCGAACGGGUUAGUAACACGUGGGUGAUCUGCCCUGCACUUCGGGAUAAGCCUGGGAUACUGGGUCUAAUACCGGAUAUGACCUCCUAUCGCAUGGCGGGUGGUGGCAAGAUUUAUCGGUGCAGGAUGGGCCCGCGGCCUAUCAGCUUGUUGGUGGGGGAAUGGGCGACCAAGGCGACGACGGGUAGCCGACCUUAGAGGGUGAGCGGCCACACUGGGACUGCGACACGGCCCAGACUCCUACGGGGGGCAGCAGUGGGGAAUAUUGCACAAUGGGCGAAAGCCUGAUGCAGAGACGCCGCGUGAGGGAUGACGGCCUUCGGGUUGUAAACCUCUUUCGGCAGGGACGAAGCGCAAGUGACGGUACCUGCAGAAGAAGCACCGGCUAACUACGUG